CUUGGUCAUUUAGAGGAAGUAAAAGUCGUAACAAGGUCUCCGUUGGUGAACCAGCGGAGGGAUCAUUACCGAGUUUACAACUCCCAAACCCCUGUGAACAUACCUAUACGUUGCCUCGGCGGAUCAGCCCGCGCCCCGUAAAACGGGACGGCCCGCCCGAGGACCCCUAAACUCUGUUUUUAGUGGAACUUCUGAGUAAAACAAACAAAUAAAUCAAAACUUUCAACAACGGAUCUCUUGGUUCUGGCAUCGAUGAAGAACGCAGCAAAAUGCGAUAAGUAAUGUGAAUUGCAGAAUUCAGUGAAUCAUCGAAUCUUUGAACGCACAUUGCGCCCUUUGGUAUUCCAAAGGGCAUGCCUGUUCGAGCGUCAUUUGUACCCUCAAGCUUUGCUUGGUGUUGGGCGUUUUUGUCUUUGGCCCGCCAAAGACUCGCCUUAAAAUGAUUGGCAGCCGGCCUACUGGUUUCGCAGCGCAGCACAUUUUUGCGCUUGCAAUCAGCAAAAGAGGACGGCAAUCCAUCAAGACUCCUUCUCACGUUUGACCUCGGAUCAGGUAGGGAUACCCGCUGAACUUAAGCAUAUCAAUAAGCGGAGG
rnacentral:rRNA from 1 species